GACAGACAUGGCGGCCUACAGACUCGCGGGUGCUGUGUGUCUCCGCGGAUGGGCUCUGGUGCCCCGGCACUGCCUCAGCCGACCGGGCAGCGGUCUCAGGGGCUUCAGCGGGCUCAGAGGCACGGUCCUCAGGGCGGACACGGAAUCCGCUCUCCGCGCGGCUGUAGCGGGGUGUAGACUGCGACCCCCGCUGUGGAGCCAGGACAUAAGCGCCCCCUCCCGAUACCGACUAACGCCGGCCCGGGCUUUUGGGAACCGAGUCAGUGGAGAGGACAGCGCCAACAGCGGAGCGCCCGGGUGAGAGGAGCCCGGAGGAGAUGGAGACGGCGGCGGAUACAACGGCCCUCACAUGACCGCCCUGACUCCCAUGAUGGUUCCGGAGGUGUUCCCCAACGUACCGCUGAUCGCCGUCAGUAGAAACCCGGUGUUUCCCCGUUUCAUCAAGAUCACUGAGGUUAAGAACCCGGAGCUGAUGGAGCUGCUGAGGCGGAAGGUGCGCCUAGCACAGCCCUAUGCCGGAGUCUUCCUCAAGAGAGAAGACAGUAACGAGUCAGAUGUGGUGGAGACUCUGGACUCCAUCUACACCACCGGGACCUUUGUGCAGAUCCAUGAGAUGCAGGACCUGGGGGACAAGCUGCGUAUGAUUGUAAUGGGCCACCGCAGAAUCCGGAUCACUCGGCAGCUGGAUGUGGAGCCAGAGGAGCCCACAGUGUCCCCAGACUCAGAGCCUCAGCCCAAAGCAGCCCUGUCCCUGCGCAGGAAAGGCAAACGGGUGCGCAGGGACCCCCCGGCGAGCCUUGCAGAGCAGUUGGAGGACAAGAUCUCUGAAGCAGAUCUUAGCCCUGAGCUGCACCCUCUGCCCUCCUCCUCCAUCCUCAUGGUAGAGGUGGACAACAUCCAGUACCAGAGCUUCACUGUCACCGAGGAGGUCAAGGCUCUGACGGCCGAAAUUGUGAAAACCAUCAGGGACAUCAUCGCUCUGAACCCCCUGUACAGGGAAUCUGUGCUGCAGAUGAUGCAGGCAGGACAGAGGGUCGUGGAUAACCCCAUCUACCUGAGCGACAUGGGGGUCGCCCUGACUGGAGCCGAGUCCCAUGAGCUGCAGGAGAUUUUGGAGGAGACUGACAUUCCCAAGAGGCUCUACAAGGCCCUGUCUCUGCUCAAGAAGGAGUACGAGCUGAGUAAACUUCAGCAGCGGCUGGGCAGAGAGGUGGAGGAGAAGAUCAAGCAGACCCACAGAAAAUACAUGCUGCAGGAACAACUCAAGAUCAUCAAGAAGGAGCUGGGUCUGGAGAAGGAGGACAAAGACGCAAUAGAGGAGAAGUUCAGAGAGCGUCUCAAAACACGGACGGUUCCUCAGCAUGUGAUGGAGGUCAUCACUGAGGAGCUCAACAAACUCAGCCUGCUCGACAACCACUUGUCUGAGUUCAAUGUAACCGGAAAUUAUCUGGACUGGCUGACCAGCAUGCCCUGGGGCAGUAACAGCGAGGAGAACCUGUCUUUAACUCGAGCCCGCGAAGUGCUGGAUGAAGAUCACUACGGUAUGGACGACGUGAAGAAAAGGAUCCUGGAGUUUAUCGCGGUGAGCCAGCUCAGGGGCUCCACUCAGGGGAAGAUCCUGUGCUUCUAUGGGCCCCCGGGUGUGGGAAAGACCUCCAUUGCCCGCUCCACUGGCCGCGCCCUCAACCGCGAGUACUUCCGCUUCAGUGUGGGUGGCAUGACUGAUGUGGCCGAAAUCAAAGGACACAGGAGGACCUAUGUAGGGGCCGUGCCAGGGAAGAUAAUCCAGCGCUUGAAGAAAACCAAGACAGAGAACCCUCUGGUGCUCAUAGAUGAGGUGGAUAAGAUGGGCCGGGGGUAUCGGGGGGACCCAUCCUCUGCCCUGCUGGAGCUGCUGGACCCUGAGCAGAUUGCCAACUUUCUGGACCAUUACCUGGAUGUGCCCGUGGAUCUGUCCAAGUGCGGCCCCGCAGAGCCCGGCCCCGGCGCUAACUCCUCUGUGGAGCCCAGUGGAAACCGGUGCUGUUUGAGAUCUUUGGGGAAAUUUGGACUGUGCAAGCCCGGCUUGGGCAGGGGGUGUCCGCCUCCGUGUACCAGGUGAGCUCCGGGAGAGCCAGCACCGCAGCUGUCAAAGAGUUUCAAGCCGAGUCUCAUGGAGGGGACUACGGAGCGUGCUGGAAGGGAUCCAGGGACACAAGAACAUCGUGACACUGUACGGAGUGUUCACACACCACAGCAGCCUAGGGGUGCCCACACGCUGUCUGCUGCUGGAGCUGCUGGACGUGAGUGUGUCCGAGCUGCUGCUGAGGGCCGGGGCCCCACACUGCCACAG